AUGGCGCUCACAUCCAUGAGACCCACACGACCACAGUGCAAAGAGAGAAAGGGCUCGCGCACUUGGACUCACCGGCCCCGGGAUCCCGCACAGAGGCAGCCGCCUGGACUUGCUGUUACAGGAGGCGUAUUUUCUUGUCUUAAGCCUUUGGAAUUGGCCACACGUGAGCGAUCUGUGGGAGUAGGGCCCUGUUCUGAAGAACAAGAUUCUGAUUUCUCCAUUUCUUCUCAAGCACUUCUCCCGCCAGGAGGAGCUAGGGAGCUGACAGGUUGGACCCUGAGCCUGGGUUCCCUGCGGGGCAAGGUGCUGCUCAUCGAGAAUGUGGCGUCGCUUUGAGGCACAACGGUCCGGGACUACACCCAGAUGAACGAGCUGCAGCGGCGCCUCGGGCCCCGGGGCCUGGUUGUGCUCUGCUUCCCGGGCAACCAGUUCGGGCAUCAGGAGAACGCUAAGAACGAAGAGAUCCUGAAUUCCCUCAAGUACGUCCGACCUGGCGGCGGGUUCGAGCCCAACUUCACGCUUUUUGAGAAGUGCGAGGUGAACGGCGCGCAGGCGCACCCCCUCUUCGCCUUCCUGCGGGAGUCCCUGCCUGCCCCCAGUGACGACGCCACUGCGCUCAUGACCGACCCCAAGUUCAUCAUCUGGUCUCCCGUGUGCCGCAACGACAUCGCCUGGAACUUUGAGAAGUUCCUGGUGGGCCCAGAUGGUGUGCCUGUGCGCAGGUACAGCCACCGCUUUGCAACCAUCGAUACUGAGCCUGACAUCGAAGCCCUGCUGUCCCAGGGGCCCAGCAGUGCCUAGACAACCCUCCUACCCCUGAUGCUUGGCAGCGCUGCCCUCGGGAUUUCAUCCAUGACGGUGUUUCCUCGAAAUCUGCAUGGAGGAACACCUAAUUUCCAGAAAAAUCCCCUGAGCUAGGCGCUUUUGUCCAUCCCAGCACCCCCUCCCUAACAAGCCUCCUCAGUAGUAAAGUGUUGGGUGUCAGCAAAAAAAAAAAAGGUA